rnacentral:rRNA from 1 species
GAGUUUGAUCCUGGCUCAGGACGAACGCUGGCGGCGUGCUUAACACAUGCAAGUCGAACGGAAAGGCCCCGCUUGCGGGGUACUCGAGUGGCGAACGGGUGAGUAACACGUGGGUGAUCUGCCCUGCACUUCGGGAUAAGCCUGGGAAACUGGGUCUAAUACCGGAUAGGACCCCUCUUUAGUGUGGGGGGUGGAAAGUUUUUUCGGUGUGGGAUGAGCCCGCGGCCUAUCAGCUUGUUGGUGGGGUAAUGGCCUACCAAGGCGUCGACGGGUAGCCGGCCUGAGAGGGUGGACGGCCACAUUGGGACUGAGAUACGGCCCAGACUCCUACGGGAGGCAGCAGUGGGGAAUAUUGCACAAUGGGCGGAAGCCUGAUGCAGCGACGCCGCGUGGGGGAUGACGGCCUUCGGGUUGUAAACCUCUUUCGCUAGGGACGAAGCUUUUGUGACGGUACCUAGAUAAGAAGCACCGGCUAACUACGUGCCAGCAGCCGCGGCAAUACGUAGGGUGCGAGCGUUGUCCGGAAUUACUGGGCGUAAAGAGCUCGUAGGUGGUUUGUCGCGUCGUCUGUGAAAUUCCGGGGCUUAACUUCGGGCGUGCAGGCGAUACGGGCAAUACUUGAGUGCUGUAGGGGAGACUGGAAUUCCUGGUGUANCGGUGGAAUGCGCGGAUAUCAGGAGGAACACCGAUGGCGAAGGCAGGUCUCUGGGCAGUAACUGACGCUGAGGAGCGAAAGCAUGGGUAGCGAACAGGAUUAGAUACCCUGGUAGUCCAUGCCGUAAACGGUGGGCGCUAGGUGUAGGGGUCUUCCACGACUUCUGUGCCGUAGCUAACGCAUUAAGCGCCCCGCCUGGGGAGUACGGCCGCAAGGCUAAAACUCAAAGGAAUUGACGGGGGCCCGCACAAGCGGCGGAGCAUGUGGAUUAAUUCGAUGCAACGCGAAGAACCUUACCUGGGCUUGACAUACACCGGACCGGGCCAGAGAUGGUCUUUCCCCUGUGGCUGGUGUACAGGUGGUGCAUGGUUGUCGUCAGCUCGUGUCGUGAGAUGUUGGGUUAAGUCCCGCAACGAGCGCAACCCUUGUCUUAUGUUGCCAGCACGUAGUGGUGGGGACUCAUGAGAGACUGCCGGGGUCAACUCGGAGGAAGGUGGGGAUGACGUCAAAUCAUCAUGCCCCUUAUGUCCAGGGCUUCACACAUGCUACAAUGGUCGGUACAACGCGUUGCGACACUGUGAGGUGGAGCUAAUCGCUGAAAGCCGGCCUCAGUUCGGAUUGGGGUCUGCAACUCGACCCCAUGAAGUCGGAGUCGCUAGUAAUCGCAGAUCAGCAACGCUGCGGAGAAUACGUUCC